rnacentral:lncRNA from 1 species
UAGUAGGUUACUUUUCAGGUUAAUUUUUUUUUUUAAUUUUUAACUGAUUAUUAAAUCUGGUUUAACAUUAUCUAAUUUAGUUUCACCAAAAAACAAAAAAAAACCACCACCACCUUCUUACGAUUCUUACUGGAGAGAGGAGAGGAGGAGGAGAAAGUGGCGGCCCCGGCGGUAGGAGGAGAGGCUGCGGUGGCACUUGGAGCGAGGCUCUGGUCUGAGGACCUUGCACUAGUCCUUCCUCCACCACUCCCUUCGUUCUUCUCUAUCAUUGUCAUCAUCGAAGCUUCGAAGCUCUACCUUCCGUCACAAAAGCCACCUCCUUCCGCCUAUCAUCAUCGAAGCUCUACCUUCCGUCACAAAAGCCACCACCUUUCUUCUUCAGAUUUGGGUUCUUAAUAACAAAGUCACCACCUUUCUUUCUUUGAUUAUGUUGUUGAGGGAGGAGGAGGGUUUUGCAGUGGAACAGGUGGAGAGAAAGUGGUCGGCGAUGGCUUCAAUGAGUUCUUCUCCGAUUUUCCUCUCUCUCUCUCUCUAACUAAGUCUUUCUCUGAUUCUGUUGUUGAGGGAGGAGGUAUUGGGGUUGGGACUUAUCUGGGUUCGUUCUACUCUUGAGGGAGGAGAAGAAUUUCUGGUCUUUAUCACAG